rnacentral:misc_RNA from 1 species
GGUGGUUGUGGUGGUGGCGGCGGCGGUGGUCAUUAAUCAGUACAGAUACUAAAUUGUAUCACCAAAAUCUAGCUGGAGUUCUAAACUGAAUUGAAGGUAAUAAAACAAGAAUCUUAACGAUAAUAAAAUUAAAAAAAACAUAUUGAUUCAUCAAAAUAAAUAAAAACAACUUUUAUUGUAGAUCAAACAAUACUACUAGUACUGAAUGCUCAGUCACGGACUCUAGAGUCUUGAAGCAACGAUGAAGACUCAGCAAGACUCCUACGCAAGAGCCUUUAACUUCUCAACCAUGUCUGCAAUAUACUUAUUCUGAAUGUCUCUGUUCAACAAAAAUUCUCUCCAUUUUUUGUGACUUGAUCUAAUAGACUUGCAUGGAUCUUUCUCUAUUUCCAUCAUUACAAUUCUCACUGCUUCAUUAAUGUCAUCUUUCCCGAAAUACCCAUCUUCAUUUCUCCUAUUUACCUCCACACCUGCCUUCAUGUCUCCUGCAAAAACCUUAGAGUUCAAGAAUUGGUCACCCUUCAAAGGCAGCAGCACCAAUUGACAGUCAUUCAUCAAACCUUCAAUCAAAGAGCUAAACCCUGAAUGGCACAAGUAGCAGCCCACACUAGCGUUUGCCAAAAUAAGCGGCUGUUGAACCCAACCUGAGUGCAAAAUCCCUCUAUCCUUCACCCUCUCCAAGAACCCUUUCGGCAAAGCCCGGUUUAGCUCGGCCUGAGUAUCAACUCCGGCAGGAAAAUUCAGAACCAGAAUAAAUGGCAAACCAGUGAGUUCCAAUCCAAGAGCAAGUUGCUCUAUCUGAUUAUCGUCCAAGAAUGUUUCACUGCCAAAAGAGCAAAAGAUGACUGAUCCUAGAGGAAAUUGGCCCAACCAUUUAGCCCAUUUCUCCUCCAGCACCCCAGAUGCGGGCUCGGGAACUAAUGGUCCGGUUAAGAGAACCGGUUUCUGGUGUUGUGUUUUCAUGAAAUCCACGUACGGACCUUCCAUUUCAUUGCAGGUUUUAAUGGCCAGGGCAGUGCAGCCACUGAUGCUUUGACAAACUCUAUGGUAUGCACUGGGACCACCGUCAAAGCUCUUAUAUAAAUACCAAAAAUCUUGAGCCUGAAAUGUUUGCACGGAGGUAACUAAGGUCAAAGGAAAUCCAUUUGGGGGUUUCGAAAUAUCGUCAACAGUGGGAAUUUUAUUUCCAGGAUCCCUGGCAGGAACAGUAAGGAAAGCGCCAGAAAUAGCAGAGAAAACGGAAAAACACACUGUUUUGAUACCAAGUUCUGAGGCAAGUUUUGGAAGCCAAUAUUGAGCGAAAUCAAUGAAGACGAAAUCAGGGUUGAGUUGAGAUAGUAGGGUCUUGAUUUGAGGCUGCAUGAGAUCUAAGGCCUUCUUAAGGAGCUCAGCCAUGUGUGGUGUCAUUUCUGAAGUGCUGUCAAGGCCUGGAGGGAGACCCUCAACUGGAGGGAGCUGAAUAGGGAUGAUUUGGGCAUUGGGAGUGAGAAGAAGAGAGGAUUUGAUGCGUGGAAUGUUACCAGGAGCUGAGAGAAAAGAAACUCUAACUCCAUGGAGAGAAAGCUUGUUAGAUAGCUGAACAAAUGGGCUUAUGUGACCAAAUGCAAAAUAUGGAAACAUCAAAACGUGAAGCUCAGCAGCCGAUUGCUUAUUCAUCUCUCUCUCUCUCUCU